rnacentral:rRNA from 1 species
CCUACGGGUGGCAGCAGUUAGGAAUAUUGGUCAAUGGACGCAAGUCUGAACCAGCCAUGCCGCGUGCAGGAAGACGGCUCUAUGGUUUGUAAACUGCUUUUGUACGGGGGUAAAGUGCGGUACGUGUUUCGUGUUGUAAGUAUCAUACGAAUAAGCAUCGGCUAACUCCGUGCCAGCAGCCGCGGUAAUACGGAGGAUUCAAGCGUUAUCCGGAUUUAUUGGGUUUAAAGGGUGCGUAGGUGGUUAAUUAAGUUAGAGGUGAAAUCCCGGGGCUCAACUACGGAAUUGCCGCUGAUACUGGCUGGCUAGAGUUUAGUUGCGGUAGGCGGAAUGUAUGGUGUAGCGGUGAAAUGCAUAGAGAUCAUACAGAACACCGAUUGCGAAGGCAGCUUACCAAACUACGACUGACGCUGAGGCACGAAAGCGUGGGGAGCAAACAGGAUUAGAUACCCGUGUAGUC